GUCUCAGUGGCGUAGUGGUUAGCGCACGUGCCCCGGUUAGGCGCGAGACGCGGGUUCGAAUCCCGCCUAAGAUG
rnacentral:tRNA from 1 species